ACGAGGUGGACCCAUGCAUGGCUUAGCCUGAUCACCCUACGUGGUUACCACCCGCCGCACGGGAAGGCAUCCGUGCGGCGCCGCUACCUAGCAGUGUCUAAGAUUCAUUAUGAGAUUUCUGGUUCUGGUUCUCAAAGAUCACUACACGUCAUCCAAUACCCCCUUCGUGUUAAUACGAUAGUUCAACGUGAAUGGCUUGAACAGGUAAGAGGUCAAGGCGUGUACUAUUAAGUCUCACAGAACUUUUGUAAAAAGGAAGUCUCAUGGAGCAAAGUUGUCAAGGGCAAUAGGAAAAAAUGUGCUCCAUCUCAAAAUUACACGCCCAUAAAAUUAGAAGAGUAUAAUGGCAUAAUUUUCAAAUUAGUUAUCCAUCUUCCAUGGCGGUGGACAGAUAACUAAAAGGUUAUUUGUUGGCACUAGCUCUCAAUACUAGACACACAAGACACAAAGUAUCAAGAUAUCCCCCAUUCCUACAUACGAGGGAGCUCCCGACGUCCGUUGCGUAUUGAGAGUCUUCUCUGUAAGAAGAGCAUGAUGAGUUUCACUUGUCUGCAUAUAUGACAGAGAUACCAAACCAAAUGUAAACUGUUACGUGAUUAGACACAUCACAACCUCAGUUAGCAUUGAAGAAGAAGUAUUUGUACUUUAGACGCUGGGAAAGUGGAAUAAUAACCAUGUGGUUGUAGUCGCCAUUAGAUUUCCAGCGGGAAAAACUAGCGCCUUUAGCUAACAUUUAAUUUGCUCUUUCUCGAUUUAGAAUUCGUGAUGUUUGCAUAUAGCACCCAAGCAAAGUCAACAAACAAACUAUACAAAUAUAUCAAUUAAUCCUCACGCAACUUGCGUAUUCCAUGUACAUACAUAUAUAGCAAUGAUAAUUGAUGUUUUUUGU
rnacentral:lncRNA from 1 species